rnacentral:rRNA from 1 species
CUACGGGUUGCUCCAGUGAGGAAUAUUGCACAAUGGGGGAAACCCUGAUGCAGCAACGCCGCGUGGAGGAUGACGCAUUUCGGUGUGUAAACUCCUUUUAUCAGAGAAGAAAAUGACGGUAUCUGAUGAAUAAGCUCCGGCUAACUCCGUGCCAGCAGCCGCGGUAAUACGGAGGGGGCAAGCGUUAUUCGGAAUCACUGGGCGCAAAGGACGCGUAGGCGGGUUUUUAAGUCAGGUGUGAAAUCCUAUGGCUCAACCAUAGAACUGCACUUGAAACUGGGGACCUAGAGUAUGGAAGGGGAAGGUGGAAUUAGUGGUGUAGGGGUAAAAUCCGUAGAUAUCACUAGGAAUACCGAAAGCGAAGGCGACCUGCUGGGACAUUACUGACGCUGAGGCGUGAAAGCGUGGGGAGCAAACAGGAUUAGAUACCCCCGUAGUC